rnacentral:lncRNA from 1 species
CCGGGCUGUACUCAGGCCCAGCGUGGCCAGCGGGGUUGAGGGCGCUUAUCGUUUCCACUCUUGAACGAUAAUGGUUGAUGGGUGCUAAACUACCCAAUGUGUAACACCUGCUGGCUUCUCUAGUGAACUCUACUCGGUGGGGUAUUCAGGCUCUCAAGUGCUGCAGGAGCUGGAGCACUCAGAUUUUACAAGCUCUGAGCUAUAAUGCGCACAGGAUUUGGAAGGGAGUGCUUGAGAAUGUGGUGAUUCAAGUCUAGGUCUUGGAUAAUCCAAUGCUGGAAAGACUUGCAGAGUCUAGUAUUCAUGAGAGGUGUUGGACUGAUUAUCUGCAGAGAAAAAGAACUUUGCCCACGGAACAGUGCACUUGCCGCCCAGAGCUGAGAGUGCCGUUCCUAGGAGUAAGCAGAGUGAAACGUCCAAGUCUGUUGUUGGUAACUGUGCUAUAACAGUAGGGAUCUUCAAGACCUUAAAAAUCAUUCAUGAAUUAAACCUAACAACACCCUGGGAGACAGGUAAGUAUUACCAUCUGAUUUUCCAGGUGGAGAAACAGGACUAUUUACCAUAGUUAACAUCAUGCAAGGAAGUUAUUGGCCAACAGGAAAAGUUGGAGCUCCUGCUUUUCUAACAUUCAGUCCUGUGUUUUUACCACCACAGCAGGUUCCUUUUGAGCACUGCUUAAAGUGGGCUAUGUAAAGAAUGCAUUUUUACAAUGUCAGUGUGGAGCAUGUGUUUCAUAUUCCUAAAUAGUUCUGAUCUGUUUUCAGCCCUUAAAAUCUUCUGUUAAGUUCUGCAUGUGCAUGGAACCCACUGAAAUCACUGGGGUGCUCCACGACGGCCUGCUCCCAUGAAAUAGUUUGCAAAAAUAACACCUUGAUGGAUCUAUCAGCCGUUGUGUAAUGACGUGCGGCCAAGACUUGCAGUGCCUGAUGGCUAUUCACACCCUGGUGGCUUCUGACUGGCUGUAAAACAUCAGUGGUUGGAAUUGCUAAUACCGCAAACAUUGUCCCCAAGAAUAAAAAACGCUGGCAAUUGGAACCA